CCCACACCCCACGAUAAACACAAAAAAGCCACCAAAAAAAUUUUGUUUGUUGUUUUUGAAAGGAGGAUGCUUCAUUUGUAGUUGGUGACAAAGUUGCCUUUCUUUUUUCUGUUGGAAGACUGACAAAGUUGCCUUUACCAAAGAAGGAUGAUAUUGAAGGAGAGAGCAUUUCAUUAUUAGGACAAAACUCUCAUUCCAUCUUCACAAGGUCUUACCACUGUGGAGUCUGGACAUGUCCAUGAGAACCAGAAUCCAACCAGAGAAGCCUCACUUCUUCAAGCCUAUCCUUCCAGGCUUCAUAGAUGGAGUGAAAAUUCCAGCAUCUUUCUUGAAGUAUUUAGGUGGAAAGAUAUCUGAAAAUCAGGCAGUAUUGCGAAGGGGUGGUGUUAAGGAAUGGAGGGUAGAAAUUAGUGACCAGUGGCUGAGAGAAGGCUGGAGAGCAUUUGCUGUGGAGAACAACUUGCAGGUGGGAGAUUUUGCAGUGUUCGAACAUGAAGGAAAUAUGGUGUUCGAGGUUUUGGUUUUUGACCCUAGUCAUUGUGAGAGAGAAUAUGCAUCCAUUGAUGAUGAGACAAAGUGCUCCAAGAAAUUUAAAGCUGCAGCAACUGAAGAGAUUCCAAGAAGCAAGAAAGUUAAGUUGGAACUGUCUGAUGAUCAAGAGGAACCUGAUUCUACUGAUCAAAUUUGCCAUCCCUAUUUUAUCUUUACUGUCAAGCCAAUUAACCUUCUGUAUCACCGAUUGAACAUUCCCAGGGAUUUUGCGAUGGAGAACGGUCUAUUCGGCAGAGAAUGCAAUAUAAAGCUAAGAGAUCAAAGCCAAAGGUCAUGGAGUUUAAAGAUAAAAUCCAGUAGCGACUGCGCUUCCAUUCAAUGUGGAUGGAAAAGUUUCGCAAAAGCACAAGGGCUGAAGGAGGGAGAUGAAUUCGUGUUAGAGCUCACUGAAAAUGGAGAGGCGCCUGUCUUCAAUUUCUAUGGAAAAGACAAGGCAUCAACUCGAAAAUCAGGAAAGGAAGUCUCUUGGCGUGAUGAAGAACCUGUUAAUCCUCACUUUACGUCAACAAUAGAACCUCAUUGCAUCAGACGUUGUAUAUUGUAUCUCCCAAUGAAGUUCGCGAGAUCAAAUGAUUUAAGCAACAGAAGCUGCAAAUUGAUCCUCAAAGAUCCAAAGAAAAGGUCAUGGCAUGCAGAACUCAACUCAAGAGGCAGCCGAGUUUGCAUCUCUUUUGGCUUGGACGAGUUCUUUACUGCAAAUGACCUAAAGGAAGGAGACACUUGCAGUUUUGAGCUUGUGGAAAAUGGAGAAACACCUGUUAUUAACUUUCUUACACUCUUGACAAAAGAUGAUCAGCCUCCACCACAGCCCGCCACUGAUGAUCAUUCUUACUUCAUCUCCACAAUCAAGCCUUAUAACAUCAAAAGUUGUGUACUGCAUCUACCAGUGAAGUUUGCUAAACCGAAUGGUUUAACCAAGCUGAAGGGAGAAAUGAUCGUCAAAGAUGACAGACAAAGGCUGUGGAAAGUAAAAUUGAAGGACAGGGGAGAUAGAGUUGUGCUUUCAAGCGGAUGGAGUAAUAUCUCCAGAGCAAACGGCCUUAAAGUUGGGGACAGGUACAAGUUUGAGAUCAUCAAGAAAGGAAAGAGACCUGUGGUGAAUUUCCAUUUUGUAUACUCUUCACUGAUUGCUAGGAUGCCCAGUUAUAAAUUUUAGAAGAAGAAUGAGAAAUGCUACUGAAUGCUUAACCAACCCUUUGAACUCGCAAGUAAAUUAUCUCAUCCUAAUUUACAGGUAAGUUUCUGAAAUCUGAAGAGGACAGCCCAGCUUUAACACCAAAUUGAUGAUAAUUGACAAUUACACCCAACCUUCCAACUUCCAAGCACAGUAUUGGCACAGCCCAUCAUUUCUGUAACACCGUGCUUUCUUCAUUUCUGAUUUCUGCUUUCAAGAAAUCAUUAAUUAUGUGCUUUUCACUCGGGCUACUGCUGAAUUAUGUAAAAGCAUCAUUUGUACCAUUGGAUGAUUUUCUUUAUCUGGAUAAGUUCACAUUCUGUUUAGGAAAUGAGGUAAAAUAUUUCUCUU